rnacentral:rRNA from 1 species
AUUGAACGCUGGCGGCAGGCCUAACACAUGCAAGUCUACCGAGUGGCGGACGGGUGAGUCAUGUCUGGGAAACUGCCUGAUGGAGGGGGAUAACUACUGGACACGGUAGCUAAUACCGCAUACCAUCGGAUGUGCCCAGAUGGGAUUAGCUAGUAGGUGGGGUAAAGGCUCACCUAGGCGACGAUCCCUAGCUGGUCUGAGAGGAUGACCAGCGACACGGGAACUGAGACACGGUCCAGACUCCUACGGGAGGCAGCAGUGGGGAAUAGUGCACAAUGGACGCAAGUCUGAUGCAGCCAUGCCGCGUGUAUGAAGAAGGCCGUCGGGUUGUAAAGUACUUGCAGCAGGGAGUCGUUACCCGCAGAAGAAGCACCGGCUAACUCCGUGCCAGCAGCCGCGGUAAUAC